GCUUGACUGUAUCUUGGAAUUGGGUUCGGGCUUUUCUUGCGCAGACUAGGUGGGAGGCUAUGAAGAUUUUCUUCUGGGAAAGUUGGAGCCAACAGUGAGAGACCACUCUGGAAAGGCUAGAAUCCUAAUGGUGAUCCUUGAAUCAGGACACUUGACAGUUUCAGGUGGCAGUUUUUCUGGGGCGGAAGCCUCAUAAAAGGUAACUGAGGCGCGCAAAGGUCCCCUCAGUCUGGACGGAAAUCAGACAUUGAGUGUAAAGGCAAAAAGGGGGCUUGACUGCAAGACCCACAAGUCGAGCAGGGGCGAAAGCUGGCCUUAGUGAUCCGACGGUGCCGUGUGGAAGGCGCCGUCGCUCAACGAAUAAAAGUUA
rnacentral:rRNA from 1 species